CUUCACUCAGGCUGAAGCUGCUGCUUUUAUUAAGUUAAUUGUUGUGUGGUUUGUGGUGUAUAUUUUCAUGUGAUGUCUUCCUGCUGCAUACAAAUUGCCCUUCUGGGACAAAGAAUAAAACUGAACUGAACUGAAAUUAGCUAACU